rnacentral:rRNA from 1 species
GAACUUUCCAGAGAUGGAUUGGUGCCUUCGGGAACUCUGAGACAGGUGCUGCAUGGCUGUCGUCAGCUCGUGUUGUGAAAUGUUGGGUUAAGUCCCGCAACGAGCGCAACCCUUAUCCUUUGUUGCCAGCGGGUAGACCGGGAACUCAAAGGAGACUGCCAGUGAUAAACUGGAGGAAGGUGGGGAUGAAGUCAAGUAAUAAUGGCCCUUACGAGUAGGGCUACACACGUGCUACAAUGGCGCAUACAAAGAGAAGCGACCUCGCGAGAGCAAGCGGACCUCAUAAAGUGCGUCGUAGUCCGGAUUGGAGUCUGCAACUCGACUCCAUGAAGUCGGAAUCGCUAGUAAUCGUAGAUCAGAAUGCUACGGUGAAUACGUUCCCGGGCCUUGUACACACCGCCCGUCACACCAUGGGAGUGGGUUGCAAAAGAAGUAGGUAGCUUAACCUUCGGGAGGGCGCUUACCACUUUGUGAUUCAUGACUGGGGGAAGU